GUGUUCGCUCGCUGGCUGUUUGCACUUCUUUCUUCAGUCUUUACUUCUGUGUGGCUAUCUUGAAAACGUUGAAUCCUAGAAUUCUUUAAAAAUGUGGAAUCCAUAAAUUGCAAAGAAUUCAGAAAGAAGUUCUUCAGCAAUUAGCUCUUCUGAGAGCUACUACUAACAGCAACCGAGACAUGUUGGAAUCAAUAUUGAAAUCUCAAAAUCAAAAUACAGACCCCUGGUCAACCAGCAGCAUGAUGAAAUCAACUUUGAUCCGGCACGAUUGCCAAUGAAGACUGAGGAGAGUCUGCUCAAAAUAGAAGAGGGGCUGAGAGAUAAUCAUUCCAAAAAUAACAUGGUCAACUACCUGAGUAAAAUUGGCGAAAACAGCAUAAAAGACAUGACGAGAAGACUUAUUGGUGAUGAAUUAGCCAAAGACUACAGCUGGUUUGGUGCGAAAGGGAAAAAACAGUUUUGAAUUCUUCAAAGUGCCAGAGUCCUUGAGGAAGCUGUUAAGAUGGGUUUUCAGAAGCACGAAAAACGAUUGAAGAGGCCACAAAAAUUGGUUGAGGCAUGCGUCAAACCGGAAAACAAAAAUGGUUCUUGUAGUAGCUGUAGUUAAACAUCUAAAAUUGCAUCAUAUAUUUGCCAUAAAACAAAACAAAAACGGUGCUUGUAGUAGCUGUAGUUAAACAUCUAAAAUUGCAUCAUAUAUUUGCCAUA